CAAAAACCAGAUGAAACAGACGAGCCUGGGAGCGACAACCCCUAGCACGAAGAAAAACUGACGAUCGAGGCUGGCCUCGAUCUAUUCGCUACAAAGACGGGAACCACGCCGCCGCCGCCAUCGCGGAUCCUUGAAGCGUCGUCGAUCUAUUCAUUACAUCGAUGGAAACCAUCGUCGAUCACUGAAACAUCGCUGAUCUAUUAUCUACAUCGACGAAAACCAGUCGCCCGCGCCGAGGGGUCAUCGAGGACCCGGCGCCGAGGUCCUAAAGGAGGCGCCGCAGCCAUUGUUGCGGACCUCCGGGUCGCCAUCGGGACACCGCUGCCGAGGAUCUUCAUCCGUCAUCCUGAGCAAUUGCGGCGGCGACACGUGCGAGCUUCACAUAGUGGGGAGGACCAGGCCGCGGUGAAGGUAGGCCAUGCGCUCGUCAUGCUCCAUGAGCGGAACCUGCGCAGGGAGGCGGUAGCGCGGGGUGGCAGCCGACAAUGAGGUGGCCGCGCCACGUGACGAGCUACGGGUCCCCCUUUGUGAUGUUCUGGCAUCGCUCCUUCAUCGCAGACAUCCUUAGAUGUUUUGAAGCCUCCUUCCGGUUCGAGCUCUGCCUCGAUCUCAUCUGUGCCACGGUCGUCCUCUCUGGAGCACGCUCUGAUCUCCUAUGCAACGUGCUGCUCUAUCCAUCAGUAGCUAGAAGAUUGUACGGAGACAGUGGUACUAUUUAACCUCACACAGGAUGUGGUAUGGAUCAAUGGCAUCACCAAGUGUCUUAUGUGGCAUAUUGCUUCGGUGUGAGGGGCGCAUGUCCUCCCUUUCCCGUUUCCCCUCGCCUCCCGUCACCUCCGCGAGUCUAGCUGCUGCCGGAGUCCACGCUAUUGUCUUCAUCAUCCUCCUUUCAUUUCUUCACCCAUGCUUUGGUUGAAGUUGUUGUUUGGUUCUCAGGCUGAACAAAUCCUGCAUUUCUAAAAUCAUUGAUUUGUUUCUAGAAGUAAUACCUUAGGUUUAAGAUUAUGUUAUUCAUAAGAUUAGUGUAUAUUAAUGGUUGAUCCUUCCUGCAGAGCUGACAUGAUCGACAAUGAAGAAUGAAGACCAUGGAAUUAUAACAUUUCUUAAGAAUUUGGCAGCACACCGGAGAUGCAAUAGUGUCUUUGUUUGGCACAUUUAUCCAUGAACUCAGAAUAAAAGAUGAGGAAUAACAUAUGAAAAGAGCCGAGAGCACGACUUGGUUAUACCAUUCAAGAUUGAAAUUGGUUUGGCAUCCAUGGAAGUCAUGAUUGGUAAUGCUUUGCAGGAUGGAACAAUGGAUGUCAAAUGAAAGGAAAUGAUUGGCGGAGCGUGUACUAUAUAUGGAGAUGUCAAUGGAAAGGCUGAGAUAAUACUGAUGCUCAAUCCACAUUUGAAUGUCUCAUCUCUGAACAUUUGAAACGCUGAGCAGUCCAUGGAAGCUUGCCUAGCCGCUUUCGCACGACAUUAUAUCUUUGGACGUUUGUACUUCCGCGGCUCUCGACGUGAGCUUCCUUAUAUGUUAAUAAAUUGCUGGUUGAGAGCCCCAUUCAGCUUGCGGUAGUAAAAAAUCUCCCAAAGAGCCUCCCCAGGGCUUGCCGUGGCGGAUACCGCAUCCCUUGGCUCCGGAUGUCGAGCAAGGUGAUGGCGAGCAGGAGCAUGCGUUGUCAAACAAAUAGGUAUUGCAUUUUGAAACCGACGGGGGCAUAUAGUAUGCAGGGAAAUAAUAGCUUGAAUAACUUUUCGGUAAGAUCGGUUUUUGAAUGUUUACAAAUACAGGCAAACAUGUAAUAUGUUGUUCUAUUUUACUUUGAAUUAAAAUUGAAGCCACUUAAUGCAAAGACCUACAACCAGCAGAGAAUCAGUAGUACUGCAAUCCAUUCUAUUCUCAUAGACACCUACCCAUAGGGAUACAAAUUGAUGGCUGUUAUGAGGCACCAUAUAUGUCAUUGCUUGCUGCACUUGUGCACUGAUGUCCCGGGAGUAUCUUUGCUAUAAAUAUUCUAGAAAUCAGCAUAUUGAGCGUCAUGAUAUUUCCUAUUUGUUACAGUAUUUCGUUAUAUCAUAGAAGGUAGCUAUGCCCCAGUAUUAUGUUGUCCCUUUGUUAAAUCGAGACUAGUUAAUGCAAAGACCUAAAAAUGUCAUGAUAUUAAUUUGUCUUUGUAACAUUAUCACAAAUGUGGCCCUUUUUAUUCAUGAUCCUAGUUCGACACAAUUAAAACCAAUAAUUUGUUUUUCCCUGUGUAUCUAAUUUGUUCCUCUUCUAAUAUACAUGCAAUAGUAUGGAAGAGAAGAAUUGCUUGCUAUUGCGGUUCUUUGAUGAUAAGGUUCAGUAGACAAGGUCCCCCACCUUCAAGAUGAAGCUAGCAAAGCCAAUUUGUAUUGGCCCAAAAAGGUCAGGCCAUGUACGAUGUUAGCCAACAUUGAUCACAAGAUGCUGAAGCUAUAUUUUUCAAUAACGUAUAAAACAAGCUUGUAGCUAUUGAACUGACUAGGUGAUGUUUAGUGAUGUUUGCCAGAUUGUUUAAUCAGUUAACUACCACACAUAAGUGGUGAAAUUUUACCUGAUUGUCUUCUAGGCACAUCUUCUACUUAUAAAUCAUGAGUGCGGCGAUGCAUACUAAUAUUCCGCUUCUAUUUCAUCGAUUUUACUUGUCCACAGUAUAUUACAGACAUGAGAAAGAAGGGUCUAAAAAGUUACCUUACGUGUGUAUGUGGUAAUUCAUUUUGCUUUCUUUAAAAGCGUAUGUUCUC